CACUAAGCAAUGUGGUGUUUAGGUUGGUACUGCGAAGUCAUUACUCCGCUCAAAGUCCUGUUAUGAAUACGGUUUUACAUAGCCCACAGAGGGUGAAAGGCCCGUGUGAGCUGAGGACUUGUAAGUGACUUCCGGAACUGACCUUGGAGUCGGGUUGUUUGAAAAUGCAGCCCAAAGUGGGUGGUAAACUCCAUCCAAGGCUCAAUACUGGCACGAGUCCGAUAGCAAACAAGUACCGUGAGGGAAAGUUGAAAAGUACUCUGAAGAGAGAGUAAACAGUACGUGAAACCGCUCAGAGGUAAACGGGUAGAGUUGAACUGCAAGCCGUGGAGAUUCAGCUGACGAGCGUGUUAUGAACUUGGGUAUGUCGACUGGCUGCGGAGGUCUGCUUAACUGCGGGUUGCUGCCUUUGGGUGGCGAUGUGCGAUGCACUUUCCAUGUGUUGCGUGCCUCUGUUGACCGGGUCAGUUCGUCAGUGCACUUCUUCAUGGUGUUCACCACGACCGACGCGGCUGUUGGCCUGCUGUGCAAGGGGAAGGUAGCUCAUUGGUCCCGGCCGAUGAGUGCAAUAGCCAAGUACGGUAGCGCUGUGCAGUG
rnacentral:rRNA from 6 species